AGUGAACGCUGGCGGUAGGCCUAACACAUGCAAGUCGAACGGCAGCACAGUAAGAGCUUGCUCUUACGGGUGGCGAGUGGCGGACGGGUGAGGAAUACAUCGGAAUCUACUUUUUCGUGGGGGAUAACGUAGGGAAACUUACGCUAAUACCGCAUACGACCUACGGGUGAAAGCAGGGGAUCUUCGGACCUUGCGCGAUUGAAUGAGCCGAUGUCGGAUUAGCUAGUUGGCGGGGUAAAGGCCCACCAAGGCGACGAUCCGUAGCUGGUCUGAGAGGUUGAUCGGCCACACUGGAACUGAGACACGGUCCUGACUCCUACGGGAGGCAGCAGUGGGAAAUAUUGGACAAUGGGCGCAAGCCCGAUCCAGCCAUACCGCGUGGGUAAAGAAGGCCUUCGGAUUGUAAAGCCCUUUUGUUGGGAAAGAAAAGCAGCAGGUUAAUACCCCGCUGUUCUGACGGUACCCAAAGGAUAAGCACCGGCUAACUUCGUG
rnacentral:rRNA from 1 species